rnacentral:rRNA from 1 species
GGGUUGUGAGGUUAAGCGACUAAGCGUACACGGUGGAUGCCCUGGCAGUCAGAGGCGAUGAAGGACGUGCUAAUCUGCGAUAAGCGUCGGUAAGGUGAUAUGAACCGUUAUAACCGGCGAUUUCCGAAUGGGGAAACCCAGUGUGAUUCGUCACACUAUCAUUAACUGAAUCCAUAGGUUAAUGAGGCGAACCGGGGGAACUGAAACAUCUAAGUACCCCGAGGAAAAGAAAUCAACCGAGAUUCCCCCAGUAGCGGCGAGCGAACGGGGAGCAGCCCAGAGCCUGAAUCAGUGUGUGUGUUAGUGGAAGCGUCUGGAAAGGCGCGCGAUACAGGGUGACAGCCCCGUACACAAAAAUGCACAUGCUGUGAGCUCGAUGAGUAGGGCGGGACACGUGGUAUCCUGUCUGAAUAUGGGGGGACCAUCCUCCAAGGCUAAAUACUCCUGACUGACCGAUAGUGAACCAGUACCGUGAGGGAAAGGCGAAAAGAACCCCGGCGAGGGGAGUGAAAAAGAACCUGAAACCGUGUACGUACAAGCAGUGGGAGCACGCUUAGGCGUGUGACUGCGUACCUUUUGUAUAAUGGGUCAGCGACUUAUAUUCUGUAGCAAGGUUAACCGAAUAGGGGAGCCGAAGGGAAACCGAGUCUUAACUGGGCGUUAAGUUGCAGGGUAUAGACCCGAAACCCGGUGAUCUAGCCAUGGGCAGGUUGAAGGUUGGGUAACACUAACUGGAGGACCGAACCGACUAAUGUUGAAAAAUUAGCGGAUGACUUGUGGCUGGGGGUGAAAGGCCAAUCAAACCGGGAGAUAGCUGGUUCUCCCCGAAAGCUAUUUAGGUAGCGCCUCGUGAAUUCAUCUCCGGGGGUAGAGCACUGUUUCGGCAAGGGGGUCAUCCCGACUUACCAACCCGAUGCAAACUGCGAAUACCGGAGAAUGUUAUCACGGGAGACACACGGCGGGUGCUAACGUCCGUCGUGAAGAGGGAAACAACCCAGACCGCCAGCUAAGGUCCCAAAGUCAUGGUUAAGUGGGAAACGAUGUGGGAAGGCCCAGACAGCCAGGAUGUUGGCUUAGAAGCAGCCAUCAUUUAAAGAAAGCGUAAUAGCUCACUGGUCGAGUCGGCCUGCGCGGAAGAUGUAACGGGGCUAAACCAUGCACCGAAGCUGCGGCAGCGACGCUNNNNNNNNNNNNNNNNNNNNNNNNNNNNNNNNNNNNNNNNNNNNNNNNNNNNNNNNNNNNNNNNNNNNNNNNNNNNNNNNNNNNNNNNNNNNNNNNNNNNNNNUGCUGGAGGUAUCAGAAGUGCGAAUGCUGACAUAAGUAACGAUAAAGCGGGUGAAAAGCCCGCUCGCCGGAAGACCAAGGGUUCCUGUCCAACGUUAAUCGGGGCAGGGUGAGUCGACCCCUAAGGCGAGGCCGAAAGGCGUAGUCGAUGGGAAACAGGUUAAUAUUCCUGUACUUGGUGUUACUGCGAAGGGGGGACGGAGAAGGCUAUGUUGGCCGGGCGACGGUUGUCCCGGUUUAAGCGUGUAGGCUGGUUUUCCAGGCAAAUCCGGAAAAUCAAGGCUGAGGCGUGAUGACGAGGCACUACGGUGCUGAAGCAACAAAUGCCCUGCUUCCAGGAAAAGCCUCUAAGCAUCAGGUAACAUCAAAUCGUACCCCAAACCGACACAGGUGGUCAGGUAGAGAAUACCAAGGCGCUUGAGAGAACUCGGGUGAAGGAACUAGGCAAAAUGGUGCCGUAACUUCGGGAGAAGGCACGCUGAUAUGUAGGUGAAGUCCCUCGCGGAUGGAGCUGAAAUCAGUCGAAGAUACCAGCUGGCUGCAACUGUUUAUUAAAAACACAGCACUGUGCAAACACGAAAGUGGACGUAUACGGUGUGACGCCUGCCCGGUGCCGGAAGGUUAAUUGAUGGGGUUAGCGCAAGCGAAGCUCUUGAUCGAAGCCCCGGUAAACGGCGGCCGUAACUAUAACGGUCCUAAGGUAGCGAAAUUCCUUGUCGGGUAAGUUCCGACCUGCACGAAUGGCGUAAUGAUGGCCAGGCUGUCUCCACCCGAGACUCAGUGAAAUUGAACUCGCUGUGAAGAUGCAGUGUACCCGCGGCAAGACGGAAAGACCCCGUGAACCUUUACUAUAGCUUGACACUGAACAUUGAGCCUUGAUGUGUAGGAUAGGUGGGAGGCUUUGAAGUGUGGACGCCAGUCUGCAUGGAGCCGACCUUGAAAUACCACCCUUUAAUGUUUGAUGUUCUAACGUUGACCCGUGAUCCGGGUUGCGGACAGUGUCUGGUGGGUAGUUUGACUGGGGCGGUCUCCUCCUAAAGAGUAACGGAGGAGCACGAAGGUUGGCUAAUCCUGGUCGGACAUCAGGAGGUUAGUGCAAUGGCAUAAGCCAGCUUGACUGCGAGCGUGACGGCGCGAGCAGGUGCGAAAGCAGGUCAUAGUGAUCCGGUGGUUCUGAAUGGAAGGGCCAUCGCUCAACGGAUAAAAGGUACUCCGGGGAUAACAGGCUGAUACCGCCCAAGAGUUCAUAUCGACGGCGGUGUUUGGCACCUCGAUGUCGGCUCAUCACAUCCUGGGGCUGAAGUAGGUCCCAAGGGUAUGGCUGUUCGCCAUUUAAAGUGGUACGCGAGCUGGGUUUAGAACGUCGUGAGACAGUUCGGUCCCUAUCUGCCGUGGGCGCUGGAGAAUUGAGGGGGGCUGCUCCUAGUACGAGAGGACCGGAGUGGACGCAUCACUGGUGUUCGGGUUGUCAUGCCAAUGGCACUGCCCGGUAGCUAAAUGCGGAAGAGAUAAGUGCUGAAAGCAUCUAAGCACGAAACUUGCCCCGAGAUGAGUUCUCCCUGACUCCUUGAGAGUCCUGAAGGAACGUUGAAGACGACGACGUUGAUAGGCCGGGUGUGUAAGCGCAGCGAUGCGUUGAGCUAACCGGUACUAAUGAACCGUGAGGCUUAACCUUACAACGCCGAAGGUGUUU